rnacentral:tRNA from 1 species
AAGACAGGUCUAGGACAAAGAAGGCUGCUAACUCUCUCAUCCAUGGUUCGAGUCCAUGGCUUUCUUA